CUACGGGGGGCAGCAGUGGGGAAUAUUGCACAAUGGAGGGAACUCUGAUGCAGCAACGCCGCGUGGAGGAUGACACAUUUCGGUGCGUAAACUCCUUUUAUUAGGGAAGAUAAUGACGGUACCUAAUGAAUAAGCACCGGCUAACUCCGUGCCAGCAGCCGCGGUAAUACGGAGGGUGCAAGCGUUACUCGGAAUCACUGGGCGUAAAGCGCGCGCAGGCGGCCUUUUAAGUUGGAUGUGAAAGCCUACGGCUCAACCGUAGAACUGCAUCCAAAACUAUUGGGCUAGAGUGUGGGAGAGGAAGAUGGAAUUAGUUGUGUAGGGGUAAAAUCCGUAGAGAUAACUAGGAAUACCAAAAGCGAAGGCAAUCUUCUGGAACACUACUGACGCUGAGGCGCGAAAGCGUGGGGAGCAAACAGGAUUAGAUACCCCUGUAGUC
rnacentral:rRNA from 1 species